rnacentral:ncRNA from 1 species
AAGAGCCGUAUGAAUCGAGAGGUUCACGUACGGUUAUGUGAGCAACUGAAGGGAGCGGCUCCCUUCGGGUGACUCGAC